UACAGAGGUCCCAAGCGUUGUUCGGAUUCACUGGGCGUAAAGGGUGCGUAGGUGGUGAAGUAAGUCGGAUGUGAAAUCUCGGAGCUUAACUCCGAAACUGCAUUGGAAACUACUUUGCUCGAGGGUUGGAGGGGGGACUGGAAUUCUCGGUGCAGCAGUGAAAUGCGUAGAUAUCGAGAGGAACACCAGUGGCGAAGGCGGGUCUCUGGACAGUUCCGUGACACUGAGACACGAAGGCCAGGGGAGCAAACGGG
rnacentral:rRNA from 1 species